UUAUUUUUUUUGCCAUCUUUCUCAUUAAGGAAACAUAAACAACAAAAUUAAAACAAAAGCCCAACAAGGCAACAAUAUAAAACCCAAACCGAGCCCAAUACCAAUACAGUAAACUGUCGAGGAAGGAAUAAGAAAGCCAGACGGCAGCAACAGAGCUCAUCAAUGCCAUGUUCCAUCGGACCAAAAACCAAGGAGCUGAGAUCAAUCCCAAGGGAUGAGCUAAACGUUGAAGCGGAGACUCUAGCCCAUUUGGAGUGUUUGCAGUUGUCUCCGUAAAUAAGAGAGAUUCUAGUUCGAGUCUUUUCUGCUUUUCAAACC